GCCCUAUUGUCAAUAUGGUCUCUCAAAUAGGAUUAGCCUGUUAUCCCUAAGGUAGCUUUUUCCAUUAAUCAAUCUUCUUGGAUCUGGAAUAAAUAUUACAAGAGAAGUUUUAGAUAUUCUCUAGUUGCCCCAACUAAACUUGGACUACAUAAAGUGAAGUAAAAAGUUAAGCUCUAUAGGGUCUUUUCGUCUUUUUGUUUAUUUCAGGUCUCUUCACCUGAGUGCCAAUUUUUAGAUGUUAAGAUGAGACAGCUUUGUUUUCGUUAAUUCAUUCAUUCUAGCCGCCAAUUAAGCGGCAAGUGAUUAUGC
rnacentral:rRNA from 1 species